rnacentral:rRNA from 1 species
CGAGUGGCGGACGGGUGAGUAAUGUCUGGGAAACUGCCCGAUGGAGGGGGAUAACUACUGGAAACGGUAGCUAAUACCGCAUAACGUCGCAAGACCAAGAGGGGACCUUCGGGCCUCUUGCCAUCGGAUGAACCCAUAUGGGAUUAGCUAGUAGGUAAGGUAACGGCUUACCUAGGCGACGAUCCCUAGCUGGUCUGAGAGGAUGACCAGCCACACUGGAACUGAGACACGGUCCAG